ensembl:snRNA U6 U6 spliceosomal RNA
GUGCUCACUUCAGCAGCACAUAUACUGAAAUUGGAAUAACACAGAGAAGAUUAGCAUGGCCAGCCCUGUGCAAGGAUGACAUGAAAAUUCAUGAAGCGUUCUGUAUUUUA